CCGCAGAUGGCAUCAACUUACGACACUUACAGUCCCAAACAAGUCAUGUUGGAAGACUGGUGAAGUUAUCCUUCCUGUUUUACAGCCGGUAUUCUACAUAUCAUAAGGGGUCGACGUAGGGCUAGUGGGCGUUUCAUUUGGAAGGGGAAGACGAAAACUAAUGAAGAACGACUACACAUAUGCGCUGCGUUUUUCUGAUUCUACACAUGAUUAUAUCAAAGAGCGCAAUAGAUAUUUCCGAAACAGGAUAAAUAAACAUACCUGCUGAAAAAACGAUCAUGCAGCCCAAUCGGACAAGCGUUGUUGCCUUUCAAUUUCUUCAGCGAAGUCAGAACUAUCCUCGACAGCCUCCGACAAGACCACACUACCGGUACAAUCCGAGUAUCACCAACCCCUCCUUUCGUUUUUAUUUUUGAAAUACCGAAGUACUCUGUGUCUGCACAUCGCAUCAUUUUUCUCUUUACAAACGUUACACGGAGAAGCAAGCACUCCUCUAAUACAGGUGCAACAAGCAGCCCGCCACUAUUCAACCAAUUAAGUUGAUCACACCAGCAAAUGCUUUUGGACUGAUAAAAUCUCAGCGGCGGCGGCGGUCGCAUUCCGGUCGGCCCGAAAUGCAAAAACGCACGUGUACCGUGCCGUGCACUGGGUGCGCGUUAAAGAACCCCAGGUGGUCAAAAUUAAUCCGGAGUCCCCCGCUACACCAUGCCUCAUAAUCAGAUUGUGUUUUUGGCGCGUGAUACGCCAGAAUUAAAUUGUGAAAUCCUAUUGCAGUGCGUGCCAAAUACAGCGAAGGUGGAAGAUCAUGCAUCCUGCAAAUAAACAACGCCCGAAAGCCUAAACCGCCAUCGCAAUGAACUGCAGGACGGAAACAUUGGACUUCGAAUUGGAUUUAUGACUGCUUCUUUCGAAGAGGACGGGAUAUACUCUGAAGACCAUACAGCGUUGAAUAGAGAGAGCAGAGUUUUCUCUGUUUCAGAGUCACGGUUCCACAAUAUCUGAACUUCUGAAGUAUGCAAAGUGGCCACCAUCGCAAUUCACGCAAUGGGCCUCAGCAUCAGAGUCGUCAGCAGAAUGAUGUUUCGUUCCGCACUUCGCGCAUGUCAGCCGCACUCGACAGCCGUGGGAAGCAUGACCAAACCUCUGAAACUUGAAACAGCGUUGCGGAUUCGGAAUCACACUGCAGCAGCCACGCCGCUCCACAGCCUGUGAAAAGCAGGAGCAGAGAUGACGUGAGAUAGCCAGAAACGUCGUGCGGCGUGUUGUCUUUUACGCUCGGCUGCAUACGAACGUCCGUCUCUACGCUUAAGAAGCGAAGAGAUAAGAAGUCGAAGAAGAAAAGAAAAAAAACCACGUCUAGCUGACAAUAAACUUCCAGAGGUUGCAGCGAAAGCGAAAUUGAUAAAAAUUACGAGGCAUGCGGUCUUAGACAUAUUUAUCAAGAAAGAUGACCCUUUCGGAGAACGCUUGCCGCGGCAGGUAGAGGCAUCUAUAAUCAGCAGCGAAGACAUUAAGAACUCCAUUAAUUUAUAAUUAUUUUUAUUUGUUCCGAAUACUCCUAUGCGGCUCGCGUGCGAGAGAGCGCGUGCAUUCUUUUAUAGUUCAGCAGCAAUGGAAGAGGCCCGCAUAUUUGCAUCCCGUUAAUCACUUUUGUUAAACCUUACACGUGACGAAUGCGUCACUACUGUUCUGCUCAUUGUAAAGGGG